rnacentral:rRNA from 1 species
AGUCGAGCGGUAACAGAGAAUAGCUUGCUAUUUUGCUGACGAGCGGCGGACGGGUGAGUAACGCGUAGAAAUCUGCCUGGUAGUGGGGGAUAGCCCAGAGAAAUUUGGAUUAAUACCGCAUACGCCCUACGGGGGAAAGCAGGGGACCUUCGGGCCUUGCGCUAUCAGAUGAGUCUGCGUCGGAUUAGCUAGUUGGUGGGGUAAUGGCCUACCAAGGCGACGAUCCGUAGCUGGUCUGAGAGGAUGAUCAGCCACACUGGGACUGAGACACGGCCCAGACUCCUACGGGAGGCAGCAGUGGGGAAUAUUGCACAAUGGGCGCAAGCCUGAUGCAGCCAUGCCGCGUGUGUGAAGAAGGCCUUAGGGUUGUAAAGCACUUUCAGCAGUGAGGAAAGGAUGUAAAUUAAUACUUUGCAUCUGUGACGUUAACUGCAGAAGAAGGACCGGCUAACUCCGUGCCAGCAGCCGCGGUAAUACGGAGGGUCCGAGCGUUAAUCGGAAUUACUGGGCGUAAAGCGCGCGUAGGCGGUUAUUUAAGUCAGAUGUGAAAGCCCCGGGCUCAACCUGGGAACUGCACCUGAUACUGGAUAACUAGAGUACAGAAGAGGGUGGUGGAAUUUCCUGUGUAGCGGUGAAAUGCGUAGAUAUAGGAAGGAACACCAGUGGCGAAGG